rnacentral:lncRNA from 1 species
CCGGGUUUAUUAAUCGCAAUAAGGAUUUAGUAAGAGAGCGAAUGCACGGGAACUAAUUACUAACAUCUAACAUGACUUUGCCCGAUCAAAAAAAAAAAAAAACAAUUGAAUUAAUAAUAAUUUAUAGCCUUAACUUUCAGCAAAUUUCAGUUUAUAGCCUCAAUUUUAAUUUAUUUUAUGUAUAGCCUAAACUUUGAAAAAUUAUAGCCACAAUUACACCAAAUUUAUAUUAAUAGUCUAUUAUUCAUCGUAAUUACAUCUAAAAUGAUUAUCAAUUGCCACAAAACUAGAGUCUAAUG